rnacentral:misc_RNA from 1 species
UACGGAGGGUGCAAGCGUUGUCCGGAAUCAUUGGGUGUAAAGGGUGCGUAGGCGGAAGUCUAAGUCGGAGGUGAAAUCCUGCCGCUCAACUGUAGAAGGGCCUUCGAUACUGGAGUUCUUGAGUUCGGAAGAGGUUGGUGGAAUUCGUGGUGUAGCGGUGAAAUGCAUAGAUAUCUCGAGGAACACCGGUGGCGAAGGCGGCCAACUGGUCCGAUACUGACGCUGAGGCUCGAGCGUGUGGGGAGCGAACAGG